rnacentral:rRNA from 1 species
CCUACGGGAGGCAGCAGUGAGGAAUAUUGGUCAAUGGGCGGGAGCCUGAACCAGCCAAGUCGCGUGAGGGAAGACGGUCCUAUGGAUUGUAAACCUCUUUAGGCUGGGAGCAAUGCCGUGCACGCGUGCCCGGAGGUAGAGUACCCGCAGAAUAGGCAUCGGCUAACUCCGUGCCAGCAGCCGCGGUAAUACGGAGAAUGCGAGCGUUAUCCGGAUUUUUUGGGUUUAAGGGAUUAGUGGGCGGAUUUUUAGGUCGGCGUGAAAAUGUACGGGCUCAACCCGGGCCGGCCGUUGAAACUGGGGAUGUUGAGUGGGCGAGAAGUAGGCGGAAUGCGUGGUGUAGCGGUGAAAUGCAUAGAUAUCACGAAGAACUCCGAUUGCGAAGGCAGCACACCGGAGUCCGACUGACGCUGAGGCACGAAAGCGUGGGGAUCGAACAGGAUUAGAUACCCCUGUAGUC